rnacentral:lncRNA from 1 species
GGGACUAGGAGUCAAGGAGGAUUCUGGGAAAUGUAGUAAAGAACUGGUGAUCCACAGGAAGUGACAUAGCAGGGAGACUCAUAUAUAAACAAGAGCAAGAAGGAAGUGGGCCCCUUCUCUCUUCCUCCUGGUCUCUGCUCUGGAGUCACCAUGUGAUCCACCAGCAAGAGAAGGCACCAGCAGAAGGUCUACAACAUAUCUCCAUUCAACAGAGUUCUGGACUGAAGAAAACAUUUCAGUUUCAUCAUAACACAGACUCAUCUGUGCAGCCACUGGCUACAGUCCUCCAUUGAUGGAAAUGACUAACAUCAACAGAUACAAGAUGGCCUGAAAGAAUAACAUACUUGUUACUGAAAAAGUUUGCCACCUAUUAUAUAUUGUAUUGUUUCAGGUCAUUAUAUAUUAAAGCUUCCUACUUUAAAUUCCACAGUGAUCCAUUAUGUGUGUGUGUGUGUGUGUGUGUGUGUGUGUGUGUGUGUAUGAAUUUUAAAAAGAAGCACUAAUUCUUG